rnacentral:lncRNA from 1 species
GGUUAUAUGUUGAUGCAUAAGGAUCAUUUAUAGGUCUUUGAUAAGCUGCAUUUAUUUGUGCAAGUGCAUUUUCGAUUGGAUUUUUUAGUGAAGGACAUUCUUUCAAGAUGUGGUCCGGUGUACCACAUCUAUUGCACAUAGGUGUGAAGAUUUGAUUUGCUUGAGUGUGUCCUUAAAGUUCUAGGGCUUCUAUCCUCGGGAUCAAGGUCACAAUUCUAGCCUCCAUAGCUAGAGAUGUUUGGAC